CCUACGGGGGGCAGCAGUGGGGAAUAUUGGACAAUGGGGGCAACCCUGAUCCAGCCAUGCCGCGUGUGUGAAGAAGGCCCUCGGGUUGUAAAGCACUUUCAGUGAGGAAGAACGCCUGGUGGUUAAUACCCAUCAGGAAAGACAUCACUCACAGAAGAAGCACCGGCUAACUCCGUGCCAGCAGCCGCGGUAAUACGGAGGGUGCGAGCGUUAAUCGGAAUUACUGGGCGUAAAGCGCGCGUAGGUGGCUUGAUAAGCCGGUUGUGAAAGCCCCGGGCUCAACCUGGGAACGGCAUCCGGAACUGUCAAGCUAGAGUGCAGGAGAGGAAGGUAGAAUUCCCGGUGUAGCGGUGAAAUGCGUAGAGAUCGGGAGGAAUACCAGUGGCGAAGGCGGCCUUCUGGACUGACACUGACACUGAGGUGCGAAAGCAUGGGUAGCAAACAGGAUUAGAUACCCUUGUAGUC
rnacentral:rRNA from 1 species